rnacentral:rRNA from 1 species
ACCCGCUGAACUUAAGCAUAUCAUUCAGCGGAGGAAAAGAAACCAACAGGGAUUGCCUCAGUAACGGCGAGUGAAGCGGCAAGAGCUCAGAUUUGAAAUCGGCCAACCGGCUGAGUUGUAAUCUGUAGAGGAAGGUUCGGUUGAAGUGCUGGCUAAAGUCUUCUGGAAGGGAGCGCCGUAGAGGGUGAGAGCCCCGUCUAGCCUGCGUCUGACGCCAUGUGUACCUCCUUCGAAGAGUCGAGUUGUUUGGGAAUGCAGCUCAAAAUGGGUGGUAAAUUCCAUCUAAAGCUAAAUAUAAGCCAAAGACCGAUAGCGCACAAGUAGAGUGAUCGAAAGAUGAAAAGCACUUUGGAAAGAGAGUGAAACAGUACGUGAAAUUGUUGAAAGGGAAGCGCUUGUGGUCAGACUUGCGCGCAGUUGCUCAGCCGUUCUUUGAGCGGUGCACUCGACUGCGCUCAGGCCAGCAUCGGUUUGGGCGGCUGGAUAAAGUCUUGAGAAAUGUGGCCUCUCGGGGUGUUAUAGUCUCUUGAACAAUACAGUCAGCCUGGACCGAGGACAGCGUUCGCUAGGAUGCUGGCGUAAUGGCCAUCAGCGACCCGUCUUGAAACACGG